AAGUUUGAACUGAAGAGUUUGAUCCUGGCUCAGAUUGAACGCUGGCGGCAUGCCUAACACAUGCAAGUCGAACGCGAAAGGGGGGCAACCCCCGAGUAGAGUGGCGGACGGGUGAGUAAUACGUAGGAAUCUACCCAGUAGUGGGGGACAACUUAGGGAAACUUAAGCUAAUACCGCAUACGCACUACGGUGGAAAGCAGGGGAUCGCAAGACCUUGCGCUAUUGGAUGAGCCUACGUCCGAUUAGCUUGUUGGUAGGGUAACGGCCUACCAAGGCGACGAUCGGUAGCUGGUUUGAGAGAACGACCAGCCACACUGGGACUGAGACACGGCCCAGACUCCUACGGGAGGCAGCAGUGGGGAAUAUUGGACAAUGGGGGCAACCCUGAUCCAGCAAUGCCGCGUGUGUGAAGAAGGCCUGCGGGUUGUAAAGCACUUUCGGCGGGGAGGAAAAGCUCAAGGCUAAUAUCCUUGAGUCUUGA
rnacentral:rRNA from 1 species